CUUACCUUCCAAAGCCCCAGGUCCUCAGCCAUCGCGCAGAGGGGCAGGGCGUCUGCACCAGCUGGAUGGCAGCACGUUCUGCUCAUAACAGCUGGGGGGCCUCCGGGGUCCACACUCAUGUGGAGGCUGCCUGUGGUCAAAGGGUCCUCGCGGACAUGGCUGGACACUCAGGCCAUAAACCGGGAUGUUACGGCAAAUCCAGCGUGGCUGUGAAGGAUACUGAUAAUCAAACAUGAAACCAUCCACUGAAAAUUAACGCCGGGAAAUGCCAUCGUGAAUUGUUCCAUGGAGCUUUCUUUUACUGACUUGUUGGAGCCACUCUUUGGGUGUCUUUUUUUCCUCCUGCUUUUACUGGAACAGGGAAAUUAAAAGCACAUGGCAGCUUUCA